AGAUUUUACUGACUGACUCUAGAGUUAGUACUGGAAAAAUCAGCUGCUGGCCUUCGUUGCUGGCCAUCAUACUCAAAUCCAGAAUGAUACUGUUGGGGUUGAUGUAACAACGUGCACUGCUCUUCAGGAGGACUCUGGACACCCUGUCCCCCUGGCAGGGCAGUCCCCACCCUUUUCUUCUUUGAAGUUAUUGCCUUCUUAAUCAGGUGCAUUGAUGUGUUAAGUAAGAGCAGUUGGAGUCAUAAGCUAAGAAAGAAGGCAGGGGCAUGAUUUAUUUUGAACUGGAAAGCUGAAACACAUCCCUUCUCAAAUCACUCCCUGUUUUCCUGUAAAGUUGCCCGAGGCCCUGGGCAGACUCUCAGAAGGUUACUCAACUCAACCCCAACAAAGCCAAGCAACCAAUGCUGAGGAUGGCAUGAAGCUGGCGGCGGCAGGUGGGCUGCUUAGAGCUGCAGAUGUGAUUUCCACUAAUAAAUCAGCUUCUAAUACUGAUA